rnacentral:tRNA from 1 species
GGGCCCGUAGCUCAACGGUAGAGCACUCGGCUCAUAACCGACGGCGUCCAGGUUCGAAUCCUGGCGGGCCUACCA